rnacentral:rRNA from 1 species
AGAGUUUGAUCCUGGCUCAGGAUGAACGCUGGCGGCGUGCCUAAUACAUGCAAGUCGAGCGAACAGAUGAGGAGCUUGCUCCUUUGACGUUAGCGGCGGACGGGUGAGUAACACGUAGGUAACCUACCUAUAAGACUGGGAUAACUUCGGGAAACCGGAGCUAAUACCGGAUAAUAUUUCGAACUGCAUGGUUCGAUAGUGAAAGAUGGCUUUGCUAUCACUUAUAGAUGGACCUGCGCCGUAUUAGCUAGUUGGUAAGGUAACGGCUUACCAAGGCAACGAUACGUAGCCGACCUGAGAGGGUGAUCGGCCACACUGGAACUGAGACACGGUCCAGACUCCUACGGGAGGCAGCAGUAGGGAAUCUUCCGCAAUGGGCGCAAGCCUGACGGAGCAACGCCGCGUGAGUGAUGAAGGUCUUCGGAUCGUAAAACUCUGUUAUUAGGGAAGAACAAACGUGUAAGUAACUGUGCACGUCUUGACGGUACCUAAUCAGAAAGCCACGGCUAACUACGUGCCAGCAGCCGCGGUAAUACGUAGGUGGCAAGCGUUAUCCGGAAUUAUUGGGCGUAAAGCGCGCGUAGGCGGUUUUUUAAGUCUGAUGUGAAAGCCCACGGCUCAACCGUGGAGGGUCAUUGGAAACUGGAAAACUUGAGUGCAGAAGAGGAAAGUGGAAUUCCAUGUGUAGCGGUGAAAUGCGCAGAGAUAUGGAGGAACACCAGUGGCGAAGGCGACUUUUCUGGCCAUUAACUGACGCUGAGGUACGAAAGCGUGGGUAGCAAACAGGAUUAGAUACCCUGGUAGUCCACGCCGUAAACGAUGAGUGUUAGUGUCUGGAGUAAAUCUGGGUGCCGCAGCUAACGCAUUAAACACUCCGCCUGGGGAGUACGCACGCAGUGUGAAACUCAAAG